GGUCUGUGAUGAUGAAUUUUGAAAUCUUCACAUGUCAGACUUCAGAGGUUUCUCCAGAAAUCUAUGAGAAGAUAAUUCAUUUUCUGAGCAGAGA
rnacentral:snoRNA from 1 species